rnacentral:lncRNA from 1 species
GUAUAUCUUUUUUCACAUCAUUUUUGACAUUGUGCCACUGUUAAGGGAAUAUAAUCCCACAUCGGUAAAAUACCGAAAUAAUGACCAAUAUAAAAGAUUGGGACACUCCUCUUAACAAGGUUGACCUUAUUAAGAUGGACCCCAAGUCUUAACAUGGUAUCAGAGCCCAUUAAGCUCCAACAAGCGAUUCGAUCCGAUUAAGUCUCUAAAAAUGAGCACAUGGAUUUCAAGAUUGGUCUGCUCAAACGAGCCACCAUCUUACGGGGGCAUGUUAAGGAAAUAUAAUCCCACAUCGGUAAAAUACCGAAAUAAUGACCAAUAUAUAAAAGAUUGGGACACUCCUCUUAACAAGGUUGACCUUAUUAAGAUGGACCUCAAGUCUUAACAGCCACGUAGCGACACAUGGUUGGACAGUUUAGAAACACAGUUUCUUGCCCAACGCUUUUUGAAUUCCUACGAAGCAUACACAGACAUCUAAACUAAAGGAUGUCCACUUGGCAUUAAUUUAAAUUCAAAAUAAAGGGCUGAGGUGCAUGCCCUCUCAGCAUCCAUCAAACAUUCUGUCUGUACAAGUAACUUAAUUCUUGAACUUUUAAGUUUGUAUCUAAUUCGUGUGGUUAUAAUUAAAACUAAAAACAUUAUUUCUAUUUAAUUAAAAAAUAUAGAGACAUUUGUUCUUACAACUGACGAUGGAUUUUGUGUAGAGCAAGAGCAAGUGGAUACCAACACAGUAGCUUAUUAUUCAUAAAGAGAAAGAAGGGUGGUUAUCGACUUAUCCUCCAGGCUGCACAAUAUUUUCUCUCUCUCUCCCUCUCUCUCAAUAUGAUGAUCAUUACUUUUCCUUUAUCUAAUUAAGUAAAUAAGGUUAUCCCAUCUCUAACAAUAUAGAUGAGGUGGUUUAUCUACAUGUACAAAGGCUUAUUCAUACAAUGAUAAACAAUCUGUAAAUUUCAUUGAAGAUGAUGAUGAGCAAUUUAUAUGUUGGUUGCAUAUAUGUGUAGCACUGUGGUGGUCGAGCUUCGAAAUACGACUUUGCUGGAUAUUGGUGGGAAGAUAGAUGCAAAAAACUUGGUUAAAAAUACACGUUAUAAUGCCUAUCUUGUGUUCAAGCUCAAAGAAGGGUCGAAGGGCCUAGAGCGAGCCAAAGCAAUAGUUAGGUUUGCUGAGGACAUAGCUCCAGGAAUGGAUCAUCAGGCUACCGAUGUAUUCCUCGUCAAUAAAACAGGAGCUGAUGUUGGACACGUUCCACGACCUCUGAACUAUGGGUGGAAGGAGAUUAAACUUGGAGAUUUCACCCAUGGCGAGAAAGAUAAAGGUCAGGUAGAAAUGCAACUCUUUGAGAAGGAGGAAUGCAAUCCGAAGCCUGGUCUUAUCGUCAAAGGAAUUGAAGUUCGUCCGAAUUGAAUAGAACAAGUAUUUGUCCUAAUAAGAUGCUCUACUAUCAUAACUAAACCUGACAAGUGCUAUUUCACAUGUGUUUUUCCAUGGUUUUCUCGUUGGUAAAAAACUUGUUUAGGUACUGAACUAAUAUGAUAGCUUCUGUUUAUUCAUCGAUCUUUUGCAUUCUCUUUCGGAGUUUUGGGUGCCCAUUACGGGGACUUUUUUAAAAGGCAAUUAGAACAAAAUGUUAAUACCUUUCAAUAUUAUCGUGCAAAAACGUUCAUACCGUUCAUUUUUUGUCAUUUUCACAAUUAUUUGUACUUUUCAUUGCGAAAAUCAUCAUUUUCACCUACUUUCUCAAUUAAAAAACAUGAAAUGACGAAUAUAACCUCUUAUCUAAAUAAGCCCACGUUUGAAUCCAUUGAAAAUCCCUUACUUUACGCAGCAAAUUUUUUAGCACAGUAAAAUCAUUAAUUAACAUUUGAAAAAGCAACUGACUGGUUGAAAAAAGUCAAACAUCCGCCUAUUUAAAAUACUAAUUUCCCUCUUUGACCCUCUUUGCCUUAGUUUGUCAUUGAAAAUUCCUUAUGUUAGGGGCAAAAUUGGAAGGUAUAUAUCAUAACAUUAAAAAACAAUUCUUUUUGUCUUAAAUGAAUUCAUUGAAACGCGGAUUUUACUAUUGCAGAAAAUAAAUUUGAGUAAAAUAAAGGCCGUCAAACAGCCGCUAAAAGAAAAGAAAAAAAAAUAGAAAACGAAUUGCAACUAUAGUCUCAUAUUUUCAAAAAAUUACAAAUGGGUCACAGAUAUAUAAUUAAAUAUAAAAACAAAAAAAAACUUACUUCAUCUUCUUCCUCCUUUAUGCUAAAUAGAUGACAUUGCAAGGCACAUGAGGAUAAGAAAAAUUCAAUAGAAAUCACGAGGCACACAAAUAUAAGCAAAACUUUACACAAAAUUAGGCCGUUCUUUAACCAGUUUGAAUAGUUAAUUAGCAUAAUUAUGGAACUUAAGACAAAGAAAUCAUCUUUUGAUGGUUCAUUUUCACAUGAAGACACCAAUUUCUGAAAUCGAUAUACAGAAGCACAAAUCUAGCACCAUAAGCAAAUGGAAAGGGGGGGCCGUUUCGAGCCCAAAAAUAUUCCCGAAAUUGAAAAUCAUAGAGAGUUAUCUCAAACUACAAAAAAAAAUCAAUAAUAACCAACUGAGACAAACCCACUUCGAUUCUCACAACAGAAUCAAAAUUAAAACAGGAAAAUCAAGACUUGCACUCAAAAACAAAAAGGGAAAAGAGAGAAAGUGGAUAAAAGUGCCUCAAUAAUUAGUAGACGUCGAGUUUUGAAAAAACAAACAAAAACACAAUUUUUGGAAUCUCUAAAAGCAAUUUUCUUUUUACGAAAUCAAGCUUUAUUCUUAUUUAUUUUUUCUUUUUGAGCUAUAUUUUUAUGUGAAGGAUAUUUUUUCUCUUUUUCAUGACUGCUUGGGCCUGCUUGAGAGUUCUGGGCACCGAUUACAUGGUUUUUUAAAGGGUAAUCACAUGUGAUGACGUGGAUAACGGUGGAGAAAGGAGGAAGAAGAUGAAGUGAUUUUUUUAAUUAUAUAUUGAUGACUUAUUCAUAAUUUUUUGAAAUUUUGGAAUCAUUGUUGUAAUUAGUUUUUAUUCUUUUCUUUUCUUUUUGUUUUAUUUAAAUAGGAGGGUAUCAAGACUGGCUCUAAGCCAAGGCCAACUAGGCAAUGGCUUAGGGCCUCACAUCUAAUGGGGGCCUCCAAAUGAAGACCAUGAUGAAAGCCCUAUUAGAUUAGUAUAAAUUUAAAAGAUGGAUUAAUUAAAAUUUCAUUUGGUUGAUUCUAACUUAGUUCGAUCUUAUUCAAAAUAAAAUUUUCUCGAAUUUAAUAUACGUAGUUAAUUACAAGCUAUCAAAUGAGUCUAAUAUUAUUAUGGUAAUAUGACUUAAUUUAAAAAGCAAUAUUACACGUUCAGUAGUUUACUUUAAUAAGUUAUAAUUUGAAUUUGAUUUAUCCAAAAUAAAAUUUUUUCAUGAGUCCAUAAUACGAUUUAUCGAAAAUAACUUGAAUUCGCUAUUUUAUCUUUUGAAUCGUACCAAGUACUUGUUUAAAAUAUAAAUAUAUGAUUUAUUUAAAUUUUAAGUAUUUUUACGCAUGGAAGAUUUUUUUACAUUCCAAGGCCACAUACUAAUGAGUCGCUUAGAGUCUCAAAAUUCUCAGGAUCGGCCCUGGAGGGUAUGUUCAUCAUUUCAUAGUUUUUAAUUGAGACAAUAGAUGAAAAUGGUGAUUUUAACAAAGAAAGAUGGAAAUAAUGGUGAAAAUGCCAAAAAAAUAGAAGGUACAGACGUCGUGCAUAGUAAUAUUUAAAGGUAGGGACGUUUUGUGCUAGUCAUCCCUUUUUUAAACUACUGAUUUCUUUUGCGUAUGAGGAAUCUAAUUUUGGUUGAUUUUUAAAACAUUCUACCUUAUGUCUGAAAGUACUUAUUAUCCAAUGAUUUUAAUAUAUAUAUAUAUAUAUAUAUAUAUAUAUAUAUGCCUAAAAGUGAUUUUUUAUAUGUAAGUUAAUUCUUAACUUAAAAGUGAAAUAUUUAUAUUAUACUUCUAAAUAUUUUUUGAUACAUAAGUAAAUUUUUUAUUUAUAAGUAACAUUAUAUAUUUUAAAGAGAAUUUUAUCUUAUUAAUAGUAUUUUUUACUUUCUAAGUUUUUCAAUGCAAAAUUGAAUAUUUAUCUUGUCAGUAAUUUUUCACUUAUGAGUAAAUUUUUAAUGACAAGGCAAUUUUUUAGUUUUUGCAUUUUUAUUUACAAGUUAUUUUAAACAAAAUAUGUGGACUGAGAAUAAUUAUUUUAUAGAUAGUAAAAUUGGAGGAAAAUUUGAAUAACCAUUUUGGCAUCCAACUCUAAUUUACUUGAAAGUCAUCGACAAUUUAAACACUAACGUUGAUUUCCCACAUGGGGACACAAUCUCCCAGUACUACAUAAGUUGAAAAUCAAAACCUAACGUUUGAAGAUUGUAGAGUCACUUUUCACACUACUUGAGAAGUUGGGGAGCUCAUCCCAAAUUCCCCCUCACCCCAAAAUGGAAAAUUGAGGAUGAUAUACCCAACCUUUCACAUGGUUAUGGAUCUUAUCCAUUUGAAUAUGUGAUUUUGGUUCCCUACGUGAUCAGAAUCAUCAAUAUUAACUUCGGAAUUAUAAUUGACUUUCUUCGACUUAAAAUUGGAGGACAAAAUUGUCAAAUUACUUAAUAUUUCUCUGCAAAUCAACCGAAAAUUUCGUGCGAUUUUUACUUUCAAAUUAACGAUUUUCAUCAUGUGAGACUCCAUAUUUGCAUGGUUAAAAUUAAGUAAUUGUUGAUAAAAAAAUAUUUUCAAGAUAUUAUAGUUUAGCCUUAAAAGUCCAAAAAGUGAGUAAAAGAAGUGAACUACAGGGAAAUUUCAAGGUAACAACCAAUCUCAUAAGGGAUGGUUUAUGUACUUUUAUAAUUUUUUUUUAGCUUAAAAAGGAAACUUAAAAUGGAAAAAUGGGAGUCAGUGAUUCUUUUUCCAAAAGAAAUAUGGAAUGUUGUCUAUGUGUGUGUGUGUGCCUAUAUAUAUAUAUAUAGAAGUUUCUUAAAAUAGGAUUUUUAAAAAAAAAAAAAAAAUUUAGAAUGGUCCGAAAUAUUGCCUUUUGUCUUACUGAUUAGAAUAACGCGCAAUCAAAAGGCUUCCAGACGAGGAGGGGGUCACAAGUGGACUGUUUAAAUCUCAAACUCUUCUUAGACAGUUUAGAUCUUUUUGAAAAAGCUCUUCAACCUUGCGAAUACUCAAAUCAAGAAAACUCGAACAAUAAGUGGAAAAUAGACAUUUCCUAAUUUCUUUAAAAAUUAAAUCAGUUAUAAUUAAUAUUUUAUUUAAAGGUCUACAGGAAGGUAGACCUGUGCUCUAAUGCCGUACUGUAACGCCUCAAAUUUUAUUGACUUAAAUUUUGAGAUGUUACCGAUAUUAUUUUAUAAUCAUACAUCAAGUUAAAGUAUAAAUUUAAAAUUUAAAAUUCUUAAUUCAUUUAAAUACUCAAAUACUAAAUUAAAUAAAAGUAUAAAUUUAUAUUUUUAACUAAAGCUGAUGGGUAUGAAAGAAGAAGUUGGCGUUGACAAGUGAUAUAAAUAGGCAUACAGUCUCCUAGUGAAAAAGAAAUUAAUAAUCUUUUAGCAUGCUGAUUAAAUUGAUCAAAAAAAUUGGUGAUAAGCCUAAAUAUAAUGAAAUUGGGUUUGGCCACGUAUAAUAACAUUAGGAAUUAAACAAUAGAGUUUAGACUAAGUAUAACUAAGAUUUAAAAUCCUUCCUUAUCUCAAUUGUCGCCACCUGUUUAACCAAAGAGAAUAAUUCCUUUAAAAUAUUUCAUUUAAUCAUAACUUUCUUUGAUCCGCCAUAACUUGAUUCGCUUUUAUCUAAAUUAAAUUUUUAUCAAGCCUAACAUACAUAAUUAAAUACUAACUACCCAAAGAUCCCAAUAUUGAUAUACUAAACCUCACUCUAUAAAAAUCUAAUUUUUGACCCAAUUAAAAUAUAAAUUUAAAAACCUAUUUAAUCUUGGUCCUCAUUUUUUUAAAUAUAACAAUAUAGCAAAUUAUAUAAAUAAGUUUUACAUUAAAAUUUUCGGGAUGUUACAAUUCUUCUUCUGAAGCUUAUGGUGAAGAAGGGUAGUCGUAGUUUCUAAUCCAACAGUUAAGUUUGGUUUUGGCAUUUAUGAUAUAUUAGAAAUAAAUGAAAUUGUGAAGAGUUCUAGUUAGUUUCUACUCCAACAGUUAAGAUAAAUCAGAAAUAGAUCAAAUUGCGAAUAGUUCUAGUUAGUUUCUACUCCAAUGGUUAAGUUUAGUUCUGCAUAUAUUAGAAAUAUGUCGAAUUGCAAAGAGUUCUAGUUAGUUUCUACUCCAAUGGUUAAGUUUAGUUCUGGCAUAUUUACGUUAAAUUAGAAUUAGAUUGAAUUGCAAAGAGUUGUAGUUAGUUUAUACUCCAACAGUUAAGUUUAGUUGUGACAUAUUUAUGACAAAUUAAAAAUAGAUAGAAUUGUGAAGAGUUCUAGUUAGUUUCUACUCCAACGAUCAAGUUUAGUUGUGGCAUAUUUAUGAUAAAUUAGAAAUAGAUCGAAUUGCAAACAGUUCUAAUAUCUACUCCAAAGGCUAAGUUUAGUUGUGGCAUAUUUAUGAUAAAUUAGAAAUAGAUUAAAUUGCGAACACUUCUAGUCAGUUUCGGUUCCAACGGUUAGGUUUAGUUUUAGUAUAUUAUGAUAAAUUAUAGAUGGAUCAAAUUGUGAAGAGUUCUAGUCGGUUUCUGCACAAUGGUUAAGUUUAGCUUCGGCAUUUAUAUGACACAUUAAAAAGAGAUCAAAAUGUAAAGAGUUCUAGUUUAUUCUUAAGCCUUCUUUUAGGCAAUCCAAACUCACUGUCAUAGUUCAAGUGGAAGUGACAUAAUUAGGAGUGAUAUUACUGGUUUUGCCAGUUUGUUUACAAAAUAUAUGUGUGUUUUAAGAAAUUGGUCACGAACACUAUUCUUUAGGAACUUGUUUCGAUUACAUCUAAACAACUUAUUAAACGAUUUGUUAAAAGAAAAUGACACGACAACCUACAUGGCAUAAAUGCAUAGAUAUGGAUGCACCCCCUGUUUGAUGUAGCUUACAAUCAGAUUUUUAGUAAAAUUUGAUAAAAGUUGAUAAAAUAUGUGAUUAACGAGUUGAUAAAAUUGUGGUAUUAUAAAAUGUGUUGUUAAAAUUAAUUGAUAAUUUUAACUUUGAAUUUUUAUCAACAUUUUAAGCUAUGCAAUAAACAGGCCAGAAUACCUCAAUUUUGAACUAAACAUUUAAUAGAUUGUAUUGUUAAAAAGUAUGUAAAACCAUAAGUUUAUAUGUAAAAUUCUUUAAUUAAAAAAAUAUAUAGGAUUGAAAAUAAAUUUGAAUUUUUUUUUUUUGAAAGAAUAUGUACCAAAACAUGUUCUAAGUAAACUUUGCAAGUCUUUUCAAUGGAAAAUGACGUAGACUGUACGUUUAUAUUCAUUUAGUGCUUGUUCGGCAGUGAUUAUGAGAAUUGAUUUUUUGAUCGUUAGAGAGAAAAGUGGGUCCGACCUGUGAGAAAAGAAGUAAAAAAUGAUGGCUGACUUAAGGAAAGUAACGGUCAAAAAAUUGAUUUUUUUAGGUGAAAAAUCAAACCCAAACAUACACAUAAUAUUUCUUCAGUUUCGAUGUUUAUGCAUUUUAAUGAUCAAAACUAGUACUAAAAUAAUGCGGUCAUAUAAUUUCUACAUGCUAUUCAUUGGUAGGGCAUUUCUUCCUGUGACUGCUUUUCCUACCAAAAAGAUAACCUGGAAUACUCGGAGAGAAAAGGGAAUGAUCCCAAAAGGGAAGUCUUUCUUUCUGGUUACGAAAUCGCUUAGAUUGAAAAGCAAGUCGAUGAUGAUUAGUUUGUUGAUUUACAAUUCACAUAAUUUUGAUAAAAUAUAUAUAUAUAUAUAUAUAUAUAUAUAUAUAUAUAUAGAAAAUAUGGUUAAAAUGAGUUUUGAAGAAUAUGUACCAAAUAAGGAUAUAAUGUUAUUUUUACCAAUUUAAAAGACAUAGGAACUGAAUUGGCAUAAAUUCGAGUUGCGUUAUUAACUGUUGCGCUUUUAUGCAAAUUUCAGGACUAGAUUUGAUGUACACUUUAUUGGGGAAAAAUGGUUGGGCCCUGGUGUAACAAGAAGUAAAUGUUGAGAAACAAUCGUUUAACCUACCCAAUUAUGCUACUAUCCUUAUUUUUUCUAUAUUAAUUGAUUGAUAAGAUAUUGCAAUAGCACUUGUAAAGUUGCAUAUAUUCUAUCAAUCUCUGAUUUGACUAACGAGAACAUUUUUUUUUACCUCUAUCCUCACCUAUUUUUUCUGGCAUCGAAAAUGGAAGAGAUACUUGGGGAGGACCGCAGCUCCUCAUUGCACGGUCGCACUGCUUAUUUCUUUGAAAAUGGGACACAAAAGCCAAAGGAACCUAGCACCAAUAUUGGCUAUGUUCAAUUUUGAAUGUUAUGCUACGAUAAAAGAGAUGACUUAAAGUUUAAAAUUUCUCUCAAACAAUACUAAAUUGCACUUUGAGUUCGUCGUCGCUUUUACGAAACUAGUUGAAGCAAGUGAGUUGCUCUAAAGAGAUACAUUUAACAGUACAGAUAUAAUUAAUUUGUUCAUAUAACUUAUGAUAUUUAUUAACUUUUAAAUGUUAUUGAAUCAGGGGAUUAGGGUUUCAGCAUGUGUUGAGGGUUAUGGAGUAAAAACUACUUAGUGACAAGUAUCAAGGAAAUGAAGGUACCUCUAAAUAAAUGAUUUCUAAAAUUAAAAUACAUAUUGAAUGACUAAGUUUAAAAUAAAUAAGUUAUUAAUUUUUAAUAAAACUGUUUUUUAGUUCAAUUCACUUUCUAUUGUGUUGGGAACGGAGAGGCAAGUAUGGCACAAUAUAAAUUAUUGAUUACACAAGAAAGAACAAGAUUAAAGCAAUAAGAGAUUGUCAGAGAAAUUGAGCAAUUUCAUUAAUUGACAACCAAUGGGGAGAAAAUACAAUUUUAGCAAUACAUAAACUGGAAGAAGAGUUAAAUAUAUAGGGACAAUCCAAGCCCUAGAAGUAGAGUUGUGGAUUAAUAGAAUGUUCAAAAGUUUCUUUAUCUGGAUCUUUUUGAGUCUAAUACAAAUUCCAACUCCCAAUUGGGCUCUCAAAUAAAACUCCAACUAGAAUUUGCUAAUAGAAUUCGAAUAGGAUUUCAAAAGCAUUACAAAUAGAAAUCUUUUUAAUGUGCGCUUAAAUUAGCUCUCAUUUAUCGUCAUCAACGAAUUCGAGUCUCACCAAAAUUCUAAGAAUUUCAACGUUAACAAGAAUUCUGUGCAACGAACGAAACUCCAAAAAUUUCUUUACAUGGAAAAAUAAAUUCGACAGCAGCGAAAUAGACUGAACUUUUCAACUAGAACCAAACCAAGGAUGUAAACGAGCCGGGCCGAGCCGGCUCGCGAGCCUAAAAAUUCGGCUCGGGCUCGACCCGGUUAUAAUGGUCGAGCUUUUUUGCGGGCUCGAGUUGCUCGGCCAAAAAAAAAUAGGCUCGGCCCGAGCUUUUGCUCGGACUUUUUACGGGCCAAGCCGGGCAGGCUCGUUUUUUUCACUUUUUUUCCUUUUUUUUUUUUUAAAUAAUUUUCCAGUCUUUGAAUCUGCUACCUUUUAAGGUAGCAGAUUCGCUACCUUUUAAGGGCAGCAAAACUGCUGCCUUUUAAAGGCACUGCUGCCUUUUCAGCCUUCAUUUUAAUUUUUUUUUUUAUAUUAAAAAGCUCACGGGCCGGCUCGAGCAAAGCCCGUGCCCCCAAAAUGGGGCUCAGCCCGAGCCUAGGCUCGUGUCUACCGAGCCCCGAGCCGAGCCACGGGCGGCUCGAGCCGGCGAGCCCGAUUGCCAUCCCUAAACCAAACUUCUUCACACGAAAAAUUACUCUUACUCUUCCACAAUAUCCACAAAUGAUACAAGAACCGAAAUAUCGGGUUCCCAAAAUUCCCACAAGAAAUUCAAAAAUUAUCAAACAGUGUAGAAGCACACCCUAUAAUAGAAUCAAGUUAAAUGCUUUAAUUGAAUGCCCCUUGAUAAUCUCGACACCUCCAAAACCUCAAAAAGCAUACGCAACUAGGUCAGCGUCAUCGUACCUAUCCUCAUUAAGCCCUUCCUUAGUAGUAGAACACGAUGACACUGCAAAUAAUGGUGGCAAAGCAGAGUUACGCAUAUCCUCCAAACUUAACCAAGUAGUGUUCCUCAAUAAUGACCCAGAGCCAACUCUCAAAGAUACAGUACCAAACUAUAUAUCCACCAUGGUAUUAAACAUGUGGUGAUGAUUUUUUUACCAAUUCAGCACUACCUUACAAGAUGUAUAACCGGGACCUCCUCCGCCCCUCCAAUAUAACACAACCCUUUUGGGCCUUCAAGACUCCACCUACUCUAGUGAAUGUGUACUUUUUCGAAUCAAGAGUACUUCUUCUUUAAAUUUGGAAUACGUCGAACGUGAUCAAGUGUUUUAUAUGUUCCAUCUAACAACUUCAAUUUGACUCUAUCAAUAUAGCUGCUCGAUAAAGUUCAUUGUUACACAUGGUAAUGAUACCUUACAUCACCGUUUCAUAUGUUUCAAACAAAUCUCGGUUGGGACACAUAUGGAACAUACAAGCUAAGUCCAAAAUUCACUCCUCAGGUUUGGAUUCCACGUCACAAAACAUCAAGACAUCUCCAUCACUCAAAUAGUCCUCAACUAUAUUGGUCUAGUCGGAAGUGUUUGAUUGCUUCUCAUGAUUUGUAGCCGAAAUACCUUUUAUUCUGUGAUUUUUUGCAAUAUCUUUUAAUGUGUCCUUUCUUCUUAAAAUAAUAGUAAACUUGAUUGUUGAAACUUGACCUUGACUUACCCCUUCGCCAAUCGCCAGUUUCCAUUUAAUGGUGUCACGAAAAUAUUUAUAAAUUAAUCCAUCUCUUUUAAGUGCAUCAAAGAUCUUUAAACUUUAUUCAUUGUCACAUUUUGGUUGCUAACAUUUUCAUCUCAUACUUAUAAUUAAUUAGAAUAUUUUGUGUUAAUGAUGAUUUCCCCAAAAAGUUCUAUUUGCGAGCUUAUAAACGAGGGACAAACAUUUCUCAUAAUUUUGUAGUUUUUGUGUUUUUUGCUUAUUCAAAAUAUACAAGGGUAAUUUGUGGAAGGUUGCUAAUAAAAAUGAGAUUUCAAAAAGAUAGAAACAUAAAUUUAGCAACGAACAAGGGUUAUAAACAUUUCAUGCAAUUAAAAUUUGUUGCACUGGUAAUUUUUGUUACGAGGAGUUGACAAAAAUCGGUCAAGUUGGAGCAUCAACUAGUUCCAAUUAUAUCUAAUUAAAUGUAAAAAAUAUAGUAACCACUUAAUUAUUGUCCUUAUUAUAUAUUUUCAUCUACCUAGACCAAUAUUUUACUAUGGUGCUAGAUAGCAUUAUUCUUUUAAAAAGCAUACAUUAUUCUUUUCUAGAUUCUCUUUAAUCAUACCAAAUGAAAAAUGCAAAAAGUUGAUUCUUGAUGAGAAUCCUUGACAGCACUAAUAGUCACUCAUGAAAUGCUUGAAUAAUUUGAUAUCGGUUAUUCCUAUUUAUCCUUAUAUGAGUGGUGGAUUCCCAUAACGAGAGGGACAAGGAAAAUGAAGGUCUUGCCUUUCUUUAUAUCUAUUUAUCCUUGCAUAGAAAGUGGAUUCCCAUAACGAGAGAUACAUGAGAAUAGCUAGUCAUGCCUUUCUUUAUCCCUGUUUAUCCUUUUAGACAUAAAGUUAAUUCCUAUGAUGAGAGAGACAAGGGAAAGCAAGUCAUGGAUAAAGCAUAAUAUUCACACAUUCGCCAUUGGUACAUGCAUUUCCAUAUCCUCGUAUAUACAUGAUAUUAUGAUAAAGAGGGAUUCAUAGAGUGAAAGAGAUAAGAGAGAAGCAGAGGUGUUGGUACAAAGCACAAUGGUAUGUAUAAUAUAUUCAUUCUUGUAUUGAACUUUGAGCUCUGUUACUUGUACGAUCUUUUUGACAGUGCCAUGCACCUUAGCACUUGGUUUGAACUUCAUAAAUACAACAAUUAUGCUACAUGUAUAUAUUUUUUAACAUCAUUUUUGACAUUGUGCCAUGUAGUGACACAUGGUUGGAUAGUUCAAAAACACAGUUAUUGCCCAACGCGUUUUGAAUUCCAACGGAGCGUACACGAACAUCUAAACCAAAGGAUGUACACUUAGCAUUAAUUUUAAUUCAAAAUAAAGGGCUGAGGUGCAUGCCAUCUCAACAUCCAUCAAACUUUCUGUCUGUACAAGUAACUUAAUUCUUGAACUUUUAAGUUUGUAUCUAAUUCGUGUAGGUUAUAAUUAAAACUAAAAAAGUUAUUUCUAUUGAAUUAAAAAAUAUAGAGACAUUUGUUAAUACAAUUGACGAUGGAUUUUGUGCAGAGCAAGAGCAAGUGGAUACCAGCACAAUAGCUUAUUAUUCACAAAGAGAAAGAAGGGUGGAUAUCGACUCAUCCUCCAGGCUGCACAAAGUUCUCUCUCUCUCUCUCUCAAUAUGUUGAUCAUUACUUUUCCUUUAUCUAAUGAAGUAAAUAAGGUUAUCCCAUCUCUAACAAUAUAGAUGAGGUGGUUUAUGUAAAUGCUUAUUCAUACAAUGAUAAACAAUCUGUAAAUUUCAUUGAAGACAAUGAUGAGCAAUUUAUAUGUUGGUUGCAUAUAGUGUAGCACCAUGGUGGUCGAGCUUCGAAAUGUGACUUUGCUCGAUAUUGGUGGGAGGAUAGAUGCAAAAAAACUUGGUUAAAAAUACACGUUAUAAUGUGUAUCUUGUGUUCAAGCUCAAAGAAGGGUCGAAGGGCCUAGAGUGAGCCAAAGCAAUAGUUAGGUUUGCUGAGGACAUAGCUCUAGGAAUAGAUCAUCAAGCUACAGAUGUAUUCCUCGUCAAUAAAACAGGAGCUAACGUUGGACAGGUUCCACGACCUCUAAACUAUGGGUGGAAAGAGAUUAAACUUGGAGAUUUCACCCUUGGCGAGGAAGAUAAAGGACAAGUAGAAAUGCGACUCUUUGAGAAGGAGGA